AGCAGCCGCGGUAAUUCCAGCUCCAAUAGCGUAUAUUAAAAGUUGUUGCAGUUAAAAAGCUCGUAGUUGAAUUUUGGAUUCUUCCAAUUGGUCCAUCUUUUAGAUGAGUACUGGUUGUGUGGGGUCUAUCCGCCUGGUGAUACGUAAUGUCCUUUAUUGGAUGUUGCGGGUAGUCAGGACCUUUACCUUGAAAAAAUUAGAGUGUUUAAAGCAGGCUUAUGCCGGAAUACAUUAGCAUGGAAUAAUAGAAUAGGACGAAGUUGUUUUAUUUUGUUGGUUUCUAGGACAACCGUAAUGAUUAAUAGGGAUAGUUGGGGGCAUUAGUAUUCAAUUGUCAGAGGUGAAAUUCUUGGAUUUAUUGAAGACUAACUACUGCGAAAGCAUUUGCCAAGGAUAGUUUUCAUUAAUCAAGAACGAAAGUUAGGGGAUCGAAGACGAUCAGAUACCGUCGUAGUCUUAACCAUAAACUAUGCCGACUAGGGAGUCGGCGAUGUUGUUUCCAUGACUCGCUCGGCACCUU
rnacentral:rRNA from 1 species